UUUGGCUAUUUACGCCAUGUUAAAUUUAUUAUAAUCGUGUGUAAUCUGUUAAGUUAAUAGACGGAUGUGCUUAAUAGUGAUUACACUACGUGAUACCGACGAAUUCCCGUGAUAAACACGUAAUAUGAAAUAUUGUGUUUAAUUAAAAUCAAUGAAUAGAUGUCUUUAAAAACGGGUUUAGAUUUAAAAAGCCUAAAAAUCGGUAUAAAU